UCCGAGUUGACCCCGGCAGUCUCCCAUGAGUCCCCACCAUCACGUGCUGGCAACAUGGAACGAGGGUUGCGCUCGUUGCGGGACUUAACCCAACACCUCACGGCACGAGCUGACGACAGCCAUGCAGCACCUGAGCACGCUGGUAUUGCUACCUCGUCAGGCUUUCACCCUUCUACUACGUGCAUGUCCAACCUGGGUAAGGUUCUUCGCGUUGCGUCGAAUUAAACCACAUGCUCCACCGCUUGUGCGGGCCCCCGUCAAUUCCUUUGAGUUUCAACCUUGCGGCUGUACUUCCCAGGCGGGAUACUUACUGCGUUAGCUGCGGCACCGGCGGUAACCCGCCGACACUUAGUAUCCAUCGUUUAGGGCGUGGACUAC
rnacentral:misc_RNA from 1 species